UUUCCGUAGGUGAACCUGCGGAAGGAUCAUUAACGAAUUGUAAAGGAGAGUUGAUGCUGGCAGCAAUGCAUGUGCUCGCUCUCCGACUAUUCAUUAUCCAUACACCUGUGAACCUCUGAGGUGGAAUCGGGGCAACCUGAAUCCGCCUCUCUUUUAACAACAUACCCCCUAUCUUAUAACGAACGUGAUAGUACCUUGAAUGGUCAUAAACUUAUACAACUUUUAACAACGGAUCUCUUGGCUCUCGCAUCGAUGAAGAACGCAGC
rnacentral:misc_RNA from 1 species